rfam:Myotis davidii contig15100, whole genome shotgun sequence.
GCCCGUUUGGCUCAGUGGAUAGAGCAUCAGUCUAUGCACUGAAGGCUCCUGGGUUCAAAUCCAGUCAAGGGCA